rnacentral:rRNA from 1 species
UACGAAGGGGGCUAGCGUUGCUCGGAAUCACUGGGCGUAAAGCGCGCGCAGGCGGUUUUCCAAGUCAGUGGUGAAAGCCCGGAGCUCAACUCCGGAACUGCCAUUGAAACUGUUGAACUUGAGGACGAGAGAGGUGAGUGGAAUUCCCAGUGUAGAGGUGAAAUUCGUAGAUAUUGGGAAGAACACCGGUGGCGAAGGCGGCUCACUGGCUCGUUUCUGACGCUCAGGCGCGAUAGCGUGGGGAUCAAACAGG